rnacentral:tRNA from 1 species
GUUUUAAUAGUUUAAUAAAAACAUUGGUCUUGUAAACCAAAAUUAAGACUCUGUCUUUUAAAACU